GUCCACGCCGUAAACGAUGGGUGCUAGGUGUCACGGGCUUUGACUCUCGUGGUGCCGUAGCUAACGCAUUAAGCACCCCGCCUGGGAAGUACGGCCGCAAGGCUAAAACUCAAAGGAAUUGACGGGGCCCGCACAAGCGGUGGAGCAUGUGGUUUAAUUCGACGCAACGCGAAGAACCUUACCUGGGCUAGAAAUGUAAGAAUCUGGUAGAAGUAUCGGAGUGCUCUUCGGAGAACUUGCAGUUAGGUGCUGCAUGGCUGUCGU
rnacentral:rRNA from 1 species